UUCCGGUUGAUCCUGCCGGAAGUCACUGCUAUUGGAGUUCGAUUAAGCCAUGCGAGUCAAUAGUUCUUCGUGAACUAGGCGGACUGCUCAGUAACACGUGGGUAAUCUACCCUCGGGUCAGGGACAACCCCGGGAAACUGGGGAUAAUACCUGAUAGGUGAAGUGGUCUGGAAUGAUACUUCGCCCAAAGCUCCGGCGCCCGAGGAUGAGCCUGCGGCCGAUUAGGUUGUUGGCGGUGUAAAGGACCACCAAGCCUGUGAUCGGUACGGGUGGUGAGAGCCAUAGCCCGGAGAUGGGGGCUGAGACACGGCCCCAGGCCCUACGGGGCGCAGCAGGCGCGAAAACUACGCAAUGCGCGAAAGCGUGACGUGGGAACUCCAAGUGCCUUGCCUUCGGGUAAGGCUUUUGUGCAGUGUAAGUAGCUGCACGAAUAAGAGCGGGGUAAGACCGGUGCCAGCCGCCGCGGUAACACCGGCCGCUCAAGUGGUGACCGCUUUUAUUGGGCCUAAAGCGUUCGUAGCCGGUCCGGUAAGUCCUUGGGUAAAUCCUUCGGCUUAACCGAAGGAAUUCCGAGGAUACUGCUGGACUUGGAGUUGAGAGAAGUCGGAGGUACCUCCGGGGUAGGGGUGAAAUCCUAUAAUCCUGGGGGGACCACCAGUGGCGAAGGCGUCCGACUAGAGUAAGCUCGACGGUGAGGGACGAAAGCCAGGGGCGCGAACGGGAUUAGAUACCCCGGUAGUCCUGGCCGUAAACGCUGCGCGCUAGGUGUUACGUCCUCUACGAGGGGACGUAGUGCCGAAGAGAAGUUGAUAAGCGUGCCGCCUGGGAAGUAUUACCGCAAGGUAGAAACUUAAAGGAAUUGGCGGGGGAGCACCACAAGGGGUGGAGUCUGCGGUUCAAUUGGAUUCAACGCCGGG
rnacentral:rRNA from 1 species